GUCUCAUGUGACUGUUUUGCAUUCAUUUCAGAAUUGAGUGUCCUUUCCCCUCUCUCAUAAGCACAAUAACAAACAGUUGCUCCUCUGUUUUUCCCUCGAUCUUUUCAAUAGCAAGAAUCUAAAUCCUAAAGUAUUAGUGUUCGCUGACAACAAGAAACAUAUGUGAGCGUGGCCUACAGAAUUUCAUCUCGCUCUUUUAAGUGGCUUGCUCCGGGGCGACCAAGUAGGUCAAGAGAAUUGACAUGAGGUGAAGAGGUUCACAAACGCGUGAGGAGAAGGUCAACCGUAAAAAUUCACCCCCCCCCCCACUUUGGUGUGGAGAAGGGUGAGACACAGAGACAGGAGACAUGGAGGCUGAGUUAGAGCGAACACUCUUGUCAAUGUUCUCUGUCGACCCCCAGUCAAAACUGCUCACCCCUGUCGCACCCCUGCUCAGCGCUGGCAGCAGCGGGCCGCUUUCUCGCACUUUCUUUGUGUCUGCAGCAGCUUACAGUAUGACUAAACGUGAGCCCAAACAACAGGAAGCGUGCCUUCUCAUCCCAGCUGAACAGUGACACUAACGAAUUGGUUGAACGAACAGAUGGCCCUGCCCCAAACUCACGCGAUUGGUUAAGGUCUUGAAAGCUCAGGAACAGCGGGGCCAUCGGGGCGGCCCCUGUGGAUGUCAGGACUGCCUUUGAAGGGGGGAAAUGAUGCCCCACAUUGGAGCCUCGCCGAUGACUUUACCAGUACCGUGACCUUCAUGACCUCAUAUCCCCCUCCCCACAGCUGCUGGCCCCCAUUGGCCUCCGCUGGACUGCAGUGGUGGAGUGAACAGAGAGCAUUGGAUAGGGGAAGAAUGGCGAAAGGUCAACCGGUGGUCAGAAGGUUUUUAUUGGGACUGGGAGGCAGAGGGAGAGGGAGAGAGAACGUGUUAAAGACCACCGUCUGAGAUUUUAACUGCAGGGAAUUUGGCCUCCCUUCUAUGUGAAAUCCAGACCGCUUGGACACCAUGUCUGUUACAAACGCAGAUUCUUCAUGUACCUUCUGCUUUUAGGAAGAAUCUGGGCUUGCAUCGGUAAGUUUGUUGUGGAUCGAACCCAUGACCUUGGCAUUGCUAGUACUGUGUUAAACUACAGUACAUUUACAUUUAUGCAUUUGGCAGACAAGUUUAAACAAAGGGACUUACAUUGCAUUCAUGGUAUACAUUUAAUGCAUUCCCUGGGAGCCAAAAAUCCAUGAUUUUGGCAUUGCUACUGCCAUGCUUUGAGCUACAGAAAAGCCAAAUGUAAAUGUAAAGUUAUUGAAUGAUUACUUUAAGCUAUACUGAAGAUGAACCACACCUCUACAUCUCUAACAUCAUUUAUAUUUAUGCAUUUAGCAGAUGACUUUAUCCAAACUGACUUACAACAAAGAAAGCAUUAGCAGUUUGACACAGAGCCAACAAUAUUUGCAGUAUACAAUGCCACAUUUAUUAGACUGCAAGAUUAAGAAACAAGAAGAAAAGCAAGGAACAUUUAAUGACCAAAGUGUUAAUGGGGUUUCCAUAUUUCGAAAGUUAGAAAUUUCUUUGUGUCAGGUUGCAACCAGUUGUUCAGUAUUUCGGAAACUUAAUGAAAACUUCAAGAACUGUCAAAUGAAAAUCCAUACUGAUUGACCCAAAAUCCAAAUAAUAUGAAGAUGUCUUCCAGUCGUAAUCCUAUGAGACUUUGGCUAUAAUAAGCUUGACCAUAACUUGACUCUUAAUCUGCUCCAAAGAUCAGCAGUAUAAUUUUUCACGAUUCCGCACGUUCCCUCUUAUUUCCUGUUUUUGGCCUCUUUAUCUGCUGCUGGACACAAAAAUGACAUGAACAAAGACGCUCUGCUAAAGAUGUAUUGAUGGUACGUGUCAGCACUGUUCCACCCAGAGCAGAUCCCAACCCUCCAUGGGUGGGUAAUGUGUGCUUUCCAGGCGGCCACAAUGUCGGAGAAAAACGGUGAGAAAACACAAGGUUAUCUACAGAUGUGACCCUCUAUGUCACGCUCUCUCCGCUAGAGCCGCAGCACAGAGUCACAAGGACUUUCCCUCCAGCGGGCCUGCUUGAGUAAUUUAUUGCUCCAUCGCAUGACUGAAGUCCGGGGGUAAAAAUGGCCAUAAACAUCACAUUAUGGCAGAAAGGCUGGUGGGGGGUGUUUAGUGAAUCUGUUACAGCCCAGUAUUCUGCCUUGUUAAGCUCAUUGGUCACAGUCUUCCAGUCUGAUCAUUUAUAAUCAAAUAUCUUUUUCCGGUGAUGUGUUGUGCAUGAGUGCCACGUUUUGUAUUUCAGUGAGUGGCAAAGUCAAUUUCCCUGUUUGAAAGAUCAACACAGUGCAAUGAAGGUAAAAAAACAAACAAACAACAAAAAAAAAAAAACCUUUUGCUGUAUUUCCCACCAUGCAUAUUGUCAUUAUUCUAUGCAGGUGAUGGAUACAACUAAUACAUUUCUCUAGACUUUACAGAAAAGACUGCAUGUAACGCUUGCUUAUUUUUCAUGCUUAAAUAUUGGCAGCCAGUUAAAAAAAAAAAAAAAAAAAAAUCCACCAUUACAUUUCAUUUAACACAUGUUGACAUGUUGAACAAUUCUGCAACACAAAUCAAUUAAUAAAAGAGCAAAACUGGAAAAGUAACACAAAAAACUAUAAACUCAAAAGA